AUGCCACCAAAGAAGCGCCUGCACCUGUCGCCCGCUCUUCCCAAGCUGGAAGACUAUGUCGAGGAAGCUGCUCCUGCUGUCUCUACCUCUGGCACAGAAGGUAGCAUGGAUGAUUCUGAGGAGGAAGUUGGCGACAGCAGCAGCAGCGGCGGGGACAAUGAAGAUGGUGGCAGCCAUUCGUCGCAAGUUGACGGUGCCGACAUGGACGACCCAUCCAAAGUGCACAUCUUUGUCAAGAAUCUCGCCGGCAGGAAAAUCUGUCUUAGAGGGGUCCACUUGUCAGACACCGUUUACACCAUCAAGGCAAAGAUCCAGGAGCAGUACCGCCUCGUCUUUGACGGGGUGCAGCUGGAAGACAGCCGUACAUUGGCUGAUUAUGGCAUCAAGCAUGAUUCCAUGCUUGACCUCCAAGAAAAGAUGCAAAUCUUCGUGACGGAGACGCUGAAAGGAAGGACCAUCACUCUUGAGGUCGACAGCCUAGACACCAUUGACAAGGUGAAGUCCAAGAUCGAAGACAUUGAGAGCUUUCGGCAGGAGAGAGUAGUAUCACUAGUAGAAAAGGGGGCAAUGGUCCAGGCCGGGUCAGCCCAUUAG
rnacentral:rRNA from 1 species